CACUUUACUCUCUGAGUCAGUCUUUGUGUUGAGAAACAAGUACGACUCUGAGGGCGAAACUCUCUGGAAUCCGUCAACAAACUCCACAUCGCUCGCGGUGCUCUGGAUCGAGGGGGUUAUUGGAUACUCUAUGUCAGAGAAAAUCCCACCAUAUUGAGACUGUAAAGUGUUCCACAAGAUAACAACAGGAUACUGAGGUUUUCCAUCAUCGUCCUUUUUCCCAACCAAAAGGUACCUACCGGUACUUGGACCUGCUAUGAACGCAACAGAUUUCUCAUUCUGUCUCGGUCCUACCGAUAUACCACUUUCAUAGUAAAUGCUCUUUGUAAUGUCACUGAGGUCAAGAACUUCACAAUAUCCAUUUGUAAAGGUCCCACAGGUUAUCAGGGUGUCGUUGUCGUCAAAAGGCACCAGAAUGUUGACUCUAUUUUGAUCAGUGUUAGUGAUGUCCUUCCUCUUCUCCUCAGAAAGAUCGAG